rnacentral:rRNA from 1 species
AGACCCGAAACCCGGUGAUCUAGCCAUGGGCAGGUUGAAGGUUGGGUAACACUAACUGGAGGACCGAACCGACUAAUGUUGAAAAAUUAGCGGAUGACCUGUGGCUGGGGGUGAAAGGCCAAUCAAACCGGGAGAUAGCUGGUUCUCCCCGAAAGCUAUUUAGGUAGCGCCUCGUGAAUUCAUCUCCGGGGGUAGAGCACUGUUUCGGCUAGGGGGCCAUCCCGGCUUACCAACCCGAUGCAAACUGCGAAUACCGGAGAAUGUUAUCACGGGAGACACACGGCGGGUGCUAACGUCCGUCGUGAAGAGGGAAACAACCCAGACCGCCAGCUAAGGUCCCAAAGUCAUGGUUAAGUGGGAAACGAUGUGGGAAGGCCCAGACAGCCAGGAUGUUGGCUUAGAAGCAGCCAUCAUUUAAAGAAAGCGUAAUAGCUCACUGGUCGAGUCGGCCUGCGCGGAAGAUGUAACGGGGCUAAACCAUGCACCGAAGCUGCGGCAGCGAACGUAUCACCCAAGACAACUUUGCGGAGUUGACGAUUGACGGAGCGAAGCGACGUCAAAGCGUUCAUUAAAGUCGAGUUGGCUUAGGGAUACGUUCGUUGGGUAGGGGAGCGUUCUGUAAGCCUGUGAAGGUGGCCUGUGAGGGUUGCUGGAGGUAUCAGAAGUGCGAAUGCUGACAUAAGUAACGAUAAAGCGGGUGAAAAGCCCG